UAUCUUGGUCUAUUCUGACACGCUAAGAUAUUCUUGUUCUAACUUCCAAGUUCCAACCAGAGUCAUCCAAUCUCCAAUUACUCUGUUAUUAUUAUUGGAUCACUAACAAGACUUCUAUAAAAGAAUGUAGUUCCUAAUGGCAUAUAUACUUGCAGCUUCGAUUGUUGAUUGUAAAAUUCAUGCCAUCUCUCCACAUGAAACCAUAACAAUCGAGAUUCUAGUGCAUUAGGAGGGUCCUUCACUCAUGCCUCGAUGGUAGACUCACAAGAGUUUCAACACGAGGUCAUGGAUUCGAGUACCCAUUGUGGUGAAAUCCCUCUGUAGUGUGAGUGUGUGUGUGUGUGUGUAAAAAGAAGGAUGCCCAAUGACCCAAGGGAUUGUACCAAGAAAGUCAAAUUUUGAUCUACAAAGACGGUAGUUUCUACAUUUCCAAUAAAAGCUCUAAAAAUAGAUCUUUUUAAAAGAAAAAGAAAAUGAAGCACUUUUCCAUGAUGGGACAUUUCACUAUAUUUAGAUAUAAGACAAAAGUAGUGGAUUCCAUAUGGCAAUCAUUACAUUUUUCCAAAGUCAAUUUCUCGCAUUGUUUAUAACAUGAGUGUAGCUGAAAUGAGGAUGUUGAGAUGGAUGAGUGGCAAGACAAGAAUGGAAUAAGAAAUGAAUGCAUCCGAGGGAUCUUAGAUUAGCACCAAUAGGUAAUGCGAUGAGGGAAAGUAGACUUAAGACUGUUUCGGCAUGUGCAAUAGAGACCAAGAAGGGAAAGUAGACUUAGAUGGUUUCGGCAUGUGCAAUAGAGACCAAGAACUGCACCAGUUAAAAUGGGUGUGUUGGUACAAGUUGAAGGCUCUAAAAGGGCAAGGGAAAGACCCCAAAAGGACGUGGAUGAAGGUAAUAAGAAUAGACUUGAUGACCUAUGAUCUAAUUGAAGAUAUGGUCCUUGCUAGAGUGGAAUGGCAGAACAAGAUUCAUUUAGCCAACCCCAAUUAAUUGGGAUAAGGCUUAGAUGACUCGUGACAAUGAUUAUGAUGAUGCUGAUGAUGAUGACGACGACGACGAUACGAAGCAAGCAUUACCUCUCAAAAAUGAGAUCUCCACUCAAUACCCAACCAAGGCCCCUAAAUAUGGAACACAUGUGUAAUAGUGCUCAGGGAAAUCAUAACUGGGUAAUUAUUCUUUCUUUCCUCUUCCCAUCAUGCAAGCAAGCCUAAAGCCUUUGGUAGAAAGUUCUAGCCUUCUAGAAUUUUUAACUUCAACACCUAACAUUCUCCCUCGAGCAAAAACCCAAAAAACUUUCAUCUUUGAAUCAACUAGUGACCAUGGCACGCACAAAGUAGGAGGCAUGACUUAAACUUAUGACAAUAUCAGAUAUACAUGAUAGAAAAACUAAUGAUUUGCAAAGUGAAGUGCCAGUUGAAAACUGAGUAUGUCCAUCAGCAGGAAGAAUAGAGCAUAACAUGUUACUGAAAGUAAUCCAAAUAUCAAGAACAAGAAGAACUAAGAAAAGAAAAUAAUUA